rnacentral:tRNA from 1 species
AUUGUAGUGUUUAUGGUGUUGAUGGUUGGGGCGGUCUUGGGUUAGUGGUUAUAGUA